rnacentral:sRNA from 12 species
GGCCUAAACUGUACGAAUUGUACGGCAUGGUCUAAAAACGGUUCAACGUAGAAAGCUCCUAGUCAGAGCACGUUGAACCGUCAUAUCUCGAAAGGGGUAUGGGUGGCCCGCAAGGGUCCAUC